rnacentral:rRNA from 1 species
UACGGGGGGGGGCAAGCGUUGUUCGGAAUUACUGGGCGUAAAGGGCUCGUAGGCGGCCAACUAAGUCAGACGUGAAAUCCCUCGGCUUAACCGGGGAACUGCAUCUGAUACUGGAUGGCUUGAGUUCGGGAGAGGGAUGCGGAAUUCCAGGUGUAGCGGUGAAAUGCGUAGAUAUCUGGAGGAACACCGGUGGCGAAGGCGGCAUCCUGGACCCGACACUGACGCUGAGGAGCGAA